ACAAAAUGGUGGCUGAGGGGAAAAGAUUGAGUUGCAGGCCCUUCCAGCAGUGCAGGUGUUAAGAUAAAAGGAGCAAAGCCCAUCACUGCCAUUCUGUUGGCUGCCAGGAAGAACCAUGUGACAGUUGAGAGCUGUCUGCGAGGUAGUGAGCAUCGGAAUCUCUGAGAAAAGAGCACAGGAGAGCCGGCUGGGGAGCUCAGGAAGUGCUAGCAGUGAAAAGCAAAUCUUCCUGCCGGGGUCACCACUUGCUUGGGAUCAGCCAUCUUACCUUCUUAAUUGGUUCUAUUGAGAGGUUAUAACAGCAGAAAUGGAGCCAAAGUCUUCCUCCCCGCAGAAGCAUACUGUGAAGAGUCGUUCUAAAUCCACUGAAGAGGUUCAGCAAGCAAAGAAGGCAUUUCAUACACCACAGAAGUCGCUUCCAAAUACAGGAGAAGAAGCCAAUCUACACGAGUCUGCUGACAAUACAGAAGAGGCUUCAUCAAAGGAGGGGACAUGUGAAAAUCAUGCAGAGCAUUAGUACCAUAGGAAAUUCAGUCAGAAAACCAGCUCCAAUUGUAUCUGAAAGCAAGUUUUAGGAUUGUUCCAUAUAAUCUGUGUUUUACCUCAGAGUGUUGGGAUGCCCUCGACCCAUCAUUUUAAUAUUUUGGCCAACUAUGAAUCUUAUACAAAAGACCUGAUUGAAAACAUAUUCAAAACAGACAGUAAUUGUACUACACCAUCAAUGGGUAGAGCAUUCAACAAUUUCCUUAUUUCUAGUCCUUUGAGCAAUAUUUUUUUAGCAUAAUGGGUGCUAUGCAGUAAAUUAGUAGGAAUAGUAGAAUUUUAUAUAACUGGCCAAGUCUAAAAAUGUGACGUUCACCUUAAAAAUACCAGAAGUAUUCCAAGACAAUUUGCAAAUAGUGUGAUAGUUUUUGAAUUAUUUUAUUUUAUGCAGUUCUGUUGUUUGCCAUUUUAUAUCUAGAAACCCGCUAGCAACCAGGCAGUGAACUGAAUAAUAGAGUCAACGUAAUCAAUUUAAAAAACAAUAGUCUGGUUUCUGGUUGUUAGGACAAUGUCCCUUGUGUUAAAAUUCCAGGUUGUUGAGAGACUUAACAGAAGGGCACACCAUCCAAAAACACAGAAAAUAAAGAAUAGACAAAGUUGGCAUGAGUAGUUCUGCCUAAAGUUACAGCCUUUUAUAUUUGAACCCCUCCUUGUGUUUGGAUGAAUUCUGUGCGUCCCUAUUUGUGUUUAUCUUUCUUGUUCUUGAUGUCAGUUUGGUUGAAUGUGUUCUUAUGUUGUAUUUUUUAUGCUGUAUUGUCUGUGUACAGUGAUAAAUAUUGUGAUAAUUCUGACAGAAACAUUAAAGCAGAUGUCAUUUUGUGCCUCUU